rnacentral:rRNA from 1 species
CAGCCGCCGCGGUAAUACGUAGGUGGCAAGCGUUGUCCGGAAUUAUUGGGCGUAAAGGGCUCGCAGGCGGUUUCUUAAGUCUGAUGUGAAAGCCCCCGGCUCAACCGGGGAGGGUCAUUGGAAACUGGGAAACUUGAGUGCAGAAGAGGGGAGUGGAAUUCCACGUGUAGCGGUGAAAUGCGUAGAGAUGUGGAGGAACACCAGUGGCGAAGGCGACUCUCUGGUCUGUAACUGACGCUGAGGCUCGAAAGCGUGGGGAGCAAACAGGAUUAGAUACCCCUGUAGUCCCUGUCUCUUAUAC